UACGGAGGAUGCAAGCGUUAUCCGGAAUGAUUGGGCGUAAAGCGUCCGCAGGUGGCUUUGUAAGUCUGCUGUUAAAGAGUGAGGCUCAACCUCAUAAGAGCAGUGGAAACUACAAGGCUAGAGUACGUUCGGGGCAGAGGGAAUUCCUGGUGUAGCGGUGAAAUGCGCAGAUAUCAGGAGGAACACCGGUGGCGAAGGCGGGUCUCUGGGCCGUUCCUGACGCUGAGGCGCGAAAGCCAGGGGAGCGAACGGG
rnacentral:rRNA from 1 species